UGGGGAAGUAUACCCCUCUCUUAAGGAAGCCUUGCAAGUCAUGUGACAAUGAAACGGGAGAGUUCCCUGAUUUCCCCGUUUUCCCCGCCCUUUGCAGGACAUGCAACAGGGCUGUGGCUGGUGUGUUCGGUCUCUGCCCUGCUGAAACCCCUUAUGGGAGGUGGAGCAUGCAGACGGACGGGUGCAGGAGCUGGGGUGCAAAAGCUGGGGCGCUAGGCUUCCAGCCCCAUUGCAGUGUCCGGGGGCAGGAGCCUGUGAUUCCUGGAGCCCAAAUGGGCUUGUGUUACAGUGUGCUCUUUUAGCCUUACCAUCAGCGGACGGCUUAAGUGUUAACCAGCUCAAUAGACCCUCUGCAUUUUUGCAAGCGCAGAGGGUCAGUCUGACAGCUUUCUGUAUCUCGAGCUCUUGUCCCCCCUCCCAGAAAAAUCAGGUCACACAUGGACUUGAAGGAUAGUGAAUGCUGGUGAAGUAGAGUAGUGGGGUGGGGGUUAUUAGGUGGUAGGGGUGGCAGUCAGUGGGAUGGAUGGGGAACUGGAAAGGGCAUGGAGUAGGAAGAUGAUCUUCCCCUGGAGUUUGACCGUCCAGUGGUGGAUUCUCUGACUGUCCCCAGCUGAACUCCUCCUAACAUUCCUUCUCUUUACCUGCCGCUCUUCUGCUCUUCUGUUCAUCUGCUCAUCUUUUGCUGCUGGAGCCUGGUUUCUGGAGUUUAUUUGCGUACAGGAUAGGGGGUCAUGGAGGGCCAAAAGGUAACUUUUGGGCACAAGGGCAGGAAUGCCUCCCUUCAUUUAGGGCCAUGGGUUUCCAGGCUUGAGGGUGGGGCCUUUGCCAGGGAACUGCCUUAUUCUACCCAGUAGUUCCCUGUCUUCUGUCCCUAUCAACAAUAAGUGAGCUGAAUAAUACUCUUAAAAGGAGGACGAGAAAUAACUGGGUAGAAUAAUACAAUCCACCUUUCCAAUAAUGGUUUCGGAAGAAGAAACUGGUUGGGUGUCUUCAAAGGCAGGGGUCCCCAACCCCGGGGCCAUGUAUCAGUACCCUUUGUACCCUGUUAGGAACCAGGUGGCACAGCAGGAGAUGAGUAAGGGGCAAGCAAAAGAGGGAAGCUUCAUCUGUAUUUACAGCCGCUCCCCAUGACUAGCAUUGCCGUCUGAGCUCCACCUCCUGUUACAUCAGCUGGGGCAUUAGAUUCUCAUAGGAGCACAAUUGUGAACUAUGUGCAUUCAAGGGAUCUAGGUUGUGUGCCCCUUAUGAGAAUCCAAUGCCUGAUGAUCUGUCACUAUCUCCUAUCAUGCCCAGAUGGGCCCAUCUAAUUGCAGGAAAACAAACUCAGGGCUCCCACUGAUUCUACAUUAUGGCGAGUUGUAUAGUUAUUUCAUUAUAUGUUACAGUGUAAUAAUAAUAGAAAUAAAGUGCACAAUAAAUGUGAUGUGCUUGAAUCAUCCCAAACCCAUUCCCCACCCCUGUCCAUGGAAAAAUUGUCUUCCAUGAAACCAGUCCCUGUUGCCAAAAAGGUUGGGGAUUGCUGUUCAAAGGGAUGAUUUUGCAAUGUGAAGGCCAACUAUUAGGUUACUACUGUUCUUCAGGCCCAAAGGACACUUUAUAGCUGUGGACAUCUGAUAAAAAGAAAAGUAAUGAGUAUACUGUUGGUGGGAAUGUAUAUCCAGACACCCAUUAUGGAAAACAGUACGGAGGCUUCUCAGAAAACUAAAGAUAGAACUGUCAUAUGAUCCAUCAAUCCCACUACUGGUUAUUUAUCCAAAGGAAAGGAAAUCAAUGUAUCAAAGGGAUCCUUGUACCCCCGUUUAUAGCCACACUAUUCACAAUAGCCAAGAUAUGAAAUCAACCAAAGUCUAUAAACAGAUCAGUAAAGAAAAUGUGAUAUAUAUACACAAUGGAAUACUAUUCAGCCAUAAAAAGCAAUGAAAUCCUGUCAUUUGCAGCGACAUGCAGGGAACUAAAGGCCAUCUUGUUAAGUUAAAUGAGUCAGACACAGAAAGGCAAAAAUCACAUGUUCACACUCAUGUGGGAGCUAAAGAAGUUGAUCUCAUGGAGGUAGAGAGCAGAAGGGUGUAGGAGUAGGGGAGUGAAGACAGGUUGGUGAAUGGGUACAAGCAAAUGGAUAAGAUGGAAUAAGUUCUAGUUUUUGAUAACACAGAAGGGUGACUAUAGUUAGCAACAAUACAUUGUAUUUCCAAAUAACUAGAAGAGAAGAUAUUUUUCUUUCUUUUUUUUUUUUUUUUUUGAGAGGGCUCUUGCACUGUUGCCCAGGCUGGGGUACAGUGGUGCAAUCUCGGCUCACUGAAAGCUCCGCCUCCUGGGUUCACGCCAUUCUCCUGCCUCAGCCUCCCAAGUAGCUGGGACUACAGGCGCCUGCCACCACGCCCGGCUAACUUUUUUGUAUUUUUAGUAGAGAUGGGGUUUCACCGUGUUAGCCAGGGUGGUCUCAAUCUCCUGACCUCAUGAUCCGCCCGCCUCUGCCUCCCAAAGUGCUGGGAUUACAGGUGUGAGCCAGUGCACCCGGCCGAAGAGAAUAUUUUUUUCUAUGAGUUUGACUUUAAUUUCUAAGAUUCCACAUAUACUUGAGAUCAUGCAGUAUUUGUCUUUUUGUGUCUGCCUUAUUUCACUUAGCAUACUCUUCUCUAAGACAUCUAUGUUGUUGCAAAUGGUAAGAGUUCCUUUUUCUUUAAGGCUGAAUAAUAUCCGUGUGUGUGUGUGUGUGUGUGUGUGUGUGUAUACACCAGUUUCUUUUUUUAUUCAUCAGUUGAUGGACACUUAGAUUGUUACCAUAUCUUUUGGCUUCUGUAAAUAAUGCUGCAAUUAACAUGGGACUGCAGAUACUUCUUGGAGAUAGGGUUUUUAUUUCUUUUGGAAAUAUACCCAAUAGUAGUAUUAGUGGAUCAUAUGGUAGUUCUAUUUUUAAUUUUUUGAGGAACCUCUAUACUAUUUUUCAUAAUGGCUGCACCAAUUGACGUUUCCACCAACAGGGUAAAAGUGUCCCCUUUUCUCGAAUGCUCACCAACACUUGCUGUCUUUUGACUUUUUGAUAAUAGCCAUCCUAACAAGUGUAAGGUGAUGUCAUUUUGACUUGCAUUUCUCUGCUAAUUAGUGAUGUCGAGUAGAAGAGAAGAUUUAAAAUGUUCCCAAUACAAAGAAAUGAUAAAUGUUCAAGGUGAUGGGUAUCCUGAUAACCCUGACGAUCAUUACACAUUGUAUGCAUGCAUCAAAAUAUCGCAUGUACCCCGUAAAUACGUACAAAUAUUUUGUAUCAAUAAAAA
ensembl:lncRNA